rnacentral:rRNA from 1 species
AACGUAGGACACAAGCGUUAUCCGGAAUUACUGGGCGUAAAGGGCGUGCAGGCGGUUGAGUAAGUUAGGCGUGAAAGACUUCGGCUAAACCGGGGGAGGUCGUCUGAUACUGCUUAACUAGAGUAUGGUAGAGGCGUGUAGAAUUCCGGGUGUAGUGGUGAAAUGCGUAGAGAUCCGGAGGAAUACCAGUGGCGAAGGCGGCACGCUGGGCCAUAACUGACGCUAAGACGCGAAAGCAUGGGUAGCGAACGGG